GUCGAGCGAACGGACGAGAAGCUUGCUUCUCUGAUGUUAGCGGCGGACGGGUGAGUAACACGUGGAUAACCUACCUAUAAGACUGGGAUAACUUCGGGAAACCGGAGCUAAUACCGGAUAAUAUUUUGAACCGCAUGGUUCAAAAGUGAAAGACGGUCUUGCUGUCACUUAUAGAUGGAUCCGCGCUGCAUUAGCUAGUUGGUAAGGUAACGGCUUACCAAGGCAACGAUGCAUAGCCGACCUGAGAGGGUGAUCGGCCACACUGGAACUGAGACACGGUCCAGACUCCUACGGGAGGCAGCAGUAGGGAAUCUUCCGCAAUGGGCGAAAGCCUGACGGAGCAACGCCGCGUGAGUGAUGAAGGUCUUCGGAUCGUAAAACUCUGUUAUUAGGGAAGAACAUAUGUGUAAGUAACUGUGCACAUCUUGACGGUACCUAAUCAGAAAGCCACGGCUAACUACGUGCCAGCAGCCGCGGUAAUACGUAGGUGGCAAGCGUUAUCCGGAAUUAUUGGGCGUAAAGCGCGCGUAGGCGGUUUUUUAAGUCUGAUGUGAAAGCCCACGGCUCAACCGUGGAGGGUCAUUGGAAACUGGAAAACUUGAGUGCAGAAGAGGAAAGUGGAAUUCCAUGUGUAGCGGUGAAAUGCGCAGAGAUAUGGAGGAACACCAGUGGCGAAGGCGACUUUCUGGUCUGUAACUGACGCUGAUGUGCGAAAGCG
rnacentral:rRNA from 1 species